rnacentral:rRNA from 1 species
UACGGAGGGUGCAAGCGUUAUCCGGAUUCACUGGGUUUAAAGGGUGCGUAGGCGGCUUUAUAAGUCAUUGGUGAAAGCUCGCAGCUUAACUGCGAAACUGCCAUUGAAACUGUAAAGCUUGAAUGUGGUUGAAGUGGGCGGAAUACAACAUGUAGCGGUGAAAUGCUUAGAUAUGUUUUAGAACACCGAUUGCGAAGGCAGCUCACUAAGCCAAUAUUGACGCUGAGGCACGAAAGCGUGGGUAGCAAACAGGAUUAGAUACCCUGGUAGUCCACGCCCUAAACGAUGAAUACUCGAUGUGUGCUCCUUGUGGGUACGCGUCCAAGCAAAAGCGUUAAGUAUUCCACCUGGGAAGUACGGCCGCAAGGUUAAA